rnacentral:tRNA from 2 species
CCCUAAAAAGUCCCGACAACA